CUGCACAGUGCUUGAGACUUGCUUGCGUGAUCCAAUAGGAUGGUGGGACUACCAAGUUUCCUUUAUUUGAACAAGUAUUGGAACUUUUCACCAAAGUAGGAUUAAGUUUUACUCACGUUAGAAGAG